rnacentral:ncRNA from 2 species
UAUAUUUGCAGCCGCUUAGGUGAUGCAUACCGGACUUUCUGUUCGUUGCAUAAAAGGGAAUCGGGUGUAAAUCCCGAACAGUGCCCGCUACUGUGAUCCCCCUGCUCUUCUACUGUUGCCAUCAUAAUCGGAAGAAGAUAAGAAAAGCAUUUCUACAUAUACCACUGUCAUAGCCUGUAAAGCAUGACGGGAAGGUAGCUUUUCAAAAAGGGAUAGUCAGGAAACCUGCCGAAGCAGACAUAGAUAA